AAACUUAGAUAACUAAUUAUAAUAUUUAUCCGCCAGGGUACUACGAGCAUAAGCUUAAAACCCAAAGGACUUGGCGGUGCUUCAGACCCUCCUAGAGGAGCCUGUUCUAGAACCGAUAUUCCUCGUUAAACCUCACCGCCUCUUGUUCACCCCCGCCUAUAUACCGCCGUCGUCAGCUUACCCUUUGAAGGUAAUAAAGUAAGCGAAACAGUCACAAACAAAAACGUCAGGUCGAGGUGUAGCGUAUGAGGCGGGAAGAAAUGGGCUACAUUCUCUUUCCGCAGAGAAAAACGGAAGGGGCAGUGAAACCUGCCCCCAAAGGUGGAUUUAGCAGUAAGCAAGAAAUAGAGUGUCUU
rnacentral:rRNA from 1 species